GAGGGUAUAGCUCAAGUGGUAGAGUGCUUGCUUAGCAUGCAUGAGGUCCUGGGUUCAAUCCCCAGUACCUCCU
rnacentral:tRNA from 1 species